rfam:Desulfosporosinus sp. Tol-M Desulfosporosinus_sp._Tol-M_contig_64, whole genome shotgun sequence.
AAGAAUAAUUAAGCGCCAGGGCCUUAGAGGUGUGAAAGUUUAAGGUCGACGAGGAAGAGGGUUAUCGAACGUUUCGGCGGAUCCCUCUCGGUGGCUUGUCACCGUAAAGCUUGCUUAAAACCGAGGAGUAAUUUUCGGGACAAUGAGUAAGCUGGCAAGACAA